UAAUAACUAACAAGUAAAUCUCUGCAAUUUUUCAUGUGAUGCAAUCAAGAGAGUGAUCAUAUUAAAGGUACGAAAACAAAUUGAAUAGCUGCAUACAUAUGGAUGGGGAUAAAAAUGAAAGUGUAUCUAAAAAGCACGGACGUUUAUUCAAUGAAACGAAAGAUUCUACUUGAAACCCCAUUGAAUAAGAAGAGAUACAAGGAAGCUGGUGUGGGGGUUUGAAACCCUGAAGCAAGAAUACGAGAGGGCAAUUCAAAGAGCUAAUGAUGCAGAGAAGAAUUUCUUGGAAUCCCUUAAGUCACGCUACGAACAAGAAUUUACGGAACGAGCUACCAUUGGUUCAGGGGCUUAUGCCCAAGUUCGCAAGUGUACCCAUAAACUAGAUGGGCAAGACU